UAGGAAUAUACCUUAAAGAGGGGGAUAACUUGGGGAAACUCAAGCUAAUACCGCAUAAUAUCUGAGGAUAAAAGCUAGGGACCUUCGGGCCUGGCACUUUAAGAAUAGCCUGCGUCCGAUUAGCUAGUUGGUAGGGUAAAGGCCUACCAAGGCGACGAUCGGUAGCUGGUCUGAGAGGAUGAACAGCCACACUGGGACUGAGACACGGCCCAGACUCCUACGGGAGGCAG
rnacentral:rRNA from 1 species